AGCGUACACGGUGGAUGCCCUGGCAGUCAGAGGCGAUGAAGGACGUGCUAAUCUGCGAAAAGCGUCGGUAAGGUGAUAUGAACCGUUAUAACCGGCGAUGUCCGAAUGGGGAAACCCAGUGUGAUUCGUCACACUAUCGUUAACUGAAUACAUAGGUUAACGAGGCGAACCGGGGGAACUGAAACAUCUAAGUACCCCGAGGAAAAGAAAUCAACCGAGAUUCCCCCAGUAGCGGCGAGCGAACGGGGAGCAGCCCAGAGUCUGAAUCAGCUUGUGUGUUAGUGGAACGGUCUGGAAAGUCCGACGGUACAGGGUGAUAGUCCCGUACACCAAAAUGCACAGGCUGUGAACUCGAAGAGUAGGGCGGGACACGUGGUAUCCUGUCUGAAUAUGGGGGGACCAUCCUCCAAGGCUAAAUACUCCUGACUGACCGAUAGUGAACCAGUACCGUGAGGGAAAGGCGAAAAGAACCCCGGCGAGGGGAGUGAAAAAGAACCUGAAACCGUGUACGUACAAGCAGUGGGAGCACCUUCGGGUGUGACUGCGUACCUUUUGUAUAAUGGGUCAGCGACUUAUAUUCUGUAGCAAGGUUAACCGUAUAGGGGAGCCGCAGGGAAACCGAGUCUUAACUGGGCGUUAAGUUGCAGGGUAUAGACCCGAAACCCGGUGAUCUAGCCAUGGGCAGGUUGAAGGUUGGGUAACACUAACUGGAGGACCGAACCGACUAAUGUUGAAAAAUUAGCGGAUGACUUGUGGCUGGGGGUGAAAGGCCAAUCAAACCGGGAGAUAGCUGGUUCUCCCCGAAAGCUAUUUAGGUAGCGCCUCGUGAACUCAUCUUCGGGGGUAGAGCACUGUUUCGGCUAGGGGGUCAUCCCGACUUACCAACCCGAUGCAAACUACGAAUACCGAAGAAUGUUAUCACGGGAGACACACGGCGGGUGCUAACGUCCGUCGUGAAGAGGGAAACAACCCAGACCGCCAGCUAAGGUCCCAAAGUCAUGGUUAAGUGGGAAACGAUGUGGGAAGGCACAGACAGCCAGGAUGUUGGCUUAGAAGCAGCCAUCAUUUAAAGAAAGCGUAAUAGCUCACUGGUCGAGUCGGCCUGCGCGGAAGAUGUAACGGGGCUAAACCAUGCACCGAAGCUGCGGCAGCGACACUAUGUGUUGUUGGGUAGGGGAGCGUUCUGUAAGCCUGCGAAGGUGACCUGUGAGGGUUGCUGGAGGUAUCAGAAGUGCGAAUGCUGACAUAAGUAACGAUAAAGCGGGUGAAAAGCCCGCUCGCCGGAAGACCAAGGGUUCCUGUCCAACGUUAAUCGGGGCAGGGUGAGUCGACCCCUAAGGCGAGGCCGAAAGGCGUAGUCGAUGGGAAACAGGUUAAUAUUCCUGUACUUGGUGUUACUGCGAAGGGGGGACGGAGAAGGCUAUGUUAGCCGGGCGACGGUUGUCCCGGUUUAAGCAUGUAGGCUGAUUGUCCAGGCAAAUCCGGAUAAUCAAGGCUGAGGUGUGAUGACGAGGCACUACGGUGCUGAAGUAACAAAUGCCCUGCUUCCAGGAAAAGCCUCUAAGCAUCAGGUAACAUUAAAUCGUACCCCAAACCGACACAGGUGGUCAGGUAGAGAAUACCAAGGCGCUUGAGAGAACUCGGGUGAAGGAACUAGGCAAAAUGGUGCCGUAACUUCGGGAGAAGGCACGCUGGUGUGUAGGUGAAGUCCCUGCGGAUGGAGCUGAGACCAGUCGAAGAUACCAGCUGGCUGCAACUGUUUAUUAAAAACACAGCACUGUGCAAACACGAAAGUGGACGUAUACGGUGUGACGCCUGCCCGGUGCCGGAAGGUUAAUUGAUGGGGUUAUCCGUAAGGAGAAGCUCUUGAUCGAAGCCCCGGUAAACGGCGGCCGUAACUAUAACGGUCCUAAGGUAGCGAAAUUCCUUGUCGGGUAAGUUCCGACCUGCACGAAUGGCGUAAUGAUGGCCAGGCUGUCUCCACCCGAGACUCAGUGAAAUUGAACUCGCUGUGAAGAUGCAGUGUACCCGCGGCAAGACGGAAAGACCCCGUGAACCUUUACUAUAGCUUGACACUGAACAUUGAGCCUUGAUGUGUAGGAUAGGUGGGAGGCUUUGAAGCGUGGACGCCAGUCUGCGUGGAGCCAACCUUGAAAUACCACCCUUUAAUGUUUGAUGUUCUAACGUUGGCCCCUGACCGGGGUUGCGGACAGUGUCUGGUGGGUAGUUUGACUGGGGCGGUCUCCUCCCAAAGCGUAACGGAGGAGCACGAAGGUUAGCUAAUCCUGGUCGGACAUCAGGAGGUUAGUGCAAUGGCAUAAGCUAGCUUGACUGCGAGCGUGACGGCGCGAGCAGGUGCGAAAGCAGGUCAUAGUGAUCCGGUGGUUCUGAAUGGAAGGGCCAUCGCUCAACGGAUAAAAGGUACUCCGGGGAUAACAGGCUGAUACCGCCCAAGAGUUCAUAUCGACGGCGGUGUUUGGCACCUCGAUGUCGGCUCAUCACAUCCUGGGGCUGAAGUAGGUCCCAAGGGUAUGGCUGUUCGCCAUUUAAAGUGGUACGCGAGCUGGGUUUAGAACGUCGUGAGACAGUUCGGUCCCUAUCUGCCGUGGGCGCUGGAGAAUUGAGGGGGGCUGCUCCUAGUACGAGAGGACCGGAGUGGACGCAUCACUGGUGUUCGGGUUGUCAUGCCAAUGGCACUGCCCGGUAGCUAAAUGCGGAAGAGAUAAGUGCUGAAAGCAUCUAAGCACGAAACUUGCCCCGAGAUGAGUUCU
rnacentral:rRNA from 1 species